CCCAGAACUAAUCUAUAUGCUAAUUUGCACUUGAUAAUGCCGCCCCACAAUAUGGUAAUUGCUGUAAUGUUUUCCAGGGAGAAAAAAAAAAGUAGAAAUUGAGCGCUGGCUCCAUCUCUGAAGUCUGUGCAUUCGUGAGAACCUACCCACAAAGAGCACAGAGCAUGUUGUAAAGCCUGAGCCCACCUCCGUGGUUUGCCACAUUGAGAAUUAACCGUAACAGGAUUUCAUCUUGGACCCAAAUCAAGGCAGAGUAACUGAAACACUUUAUGAUGCGUCCUUUCCUGAGACUUGAUUACAAAAAAACAAAAGCACAAAUGGCAUCCUAUUGGGCUUCUGGAAUAAUGGUUUCCAAACGACUGCUUCAGACACAUCAGAAUUGCCUGGAGAGCUUUUUAAAAAAAUAUCCUCCUGGAGUCCACCAAUUGACUUUUCAGUUCAGUAGAAUCAGGAGUGAGGAUCAAGCUGGGAAGGGAAGCAGACAGCAGAUGAUGAAAUACCAUGUAUGCCAUGCCAGGAACGCUGGAUUUACCAUAGAAGCAAUGUGGUUCAGGAGCAGAUGAGUGACACGGUCUGAUGGGCAUAUGAGAAAGAUGACUCUGAUGCAAGUGAACAGAAUAAAUUGAGUGGUUGUGAGAUCGGCAUGAUGAGGUGCAAAGAGAGGGACAUAAGCACAUUGUCUUAGCUGGGCCAUUGCGGUAGCUCAGAAAUCUGGUCAACCAGUGACGAGGACAUGAUGGAAGUAGUACAGUGUGAGUAGGGGAGUGGAGAAGUAAAUAGAUAUGAAAGCUUUGUAUGGAAGAAUUAAUAGGAUAGUGUGAAUGUUGGGUGUGAGAACUAGAAGACAAAACUAAGGUGACUCCCGAUUAUCUGGUUUAGAUAAAAACAUAGUGGGAGGGGAAGCAGCAGUUGGGCUUGUGUGAUAAGGGGGAAGGAGGAAGGGUGAUCUGUGUUACAGGGUCAUGAAGAAUUCACUUGGAAACAAGGAGCUACCAAAGAAAAAGGA
rnacentral:lncRNA from 1 species